GGGUCUGCACUGGAGGGCUCUGGUCCUGCCCAUGCUGUGGGUGAGCCAGGGCUGGCACAGGGAAUCGUGCAGGUACUGGUCUGGCACCGGAGCUGCUGCCCUUUGGAGCCAUUUUAAGGGCUGUCCUUGCUGGAGCAGCCUGGUCCCUGCCGUCCCCAAGCCCUGAGACACAGAGGGAGCCCUGUCCCAAGUGGCCUUUGGCACCUUGUCAGGAAUGUGGCAGCAGCCCCGGGAGCAGGCUGGAGGUGAGAACUGGGUGUUUGAAACUGAGGAGUGCUUAUCUGGGGCUGGGGGGAAGGG